rnacentral:rRNA from 1 species
UGGUAUGUACUAGCUUGCUGAUUCCUCCUUCUUGUAGAACCGUAAUGCCAUUAAUUUGGUGUUGCGGGGAAACAGGACUGUUACUUUGAAAAAAUUAGAGUGUUUAAAGCAGGCUAGCGCCUGAAUACAUUAGCAUGGAAUAAUGAAAUAGGACGUUCGAACCUAUUUUGUUGGUUUCUAGGAUUGACGUAAUGAUUAAUAGGGAUAGUUGGGGGCAUUAGUAUUCAAUUGUCAGAAGUGAAAUUCUUGGAUUUAUUGAAGACUGACUACUGCGAAAGCAUUUGCCAAGGAUGUUUUCAUUAAUCAAGAACGAAAGUUAGGGGAUCGAAGACGAUCAGAUACCGUCGUAGUCUAAACCAUAAACUAUGCCGACUAGGGAUCGGAUGAUGUUAAUUUUUUAACGACUCAUUCGGCGCCUUAC